UUAUUGAUUUCCUCUCUCCUGGGGUCCAGUUUUCCCAGGAAUCCCUUGACCUAUCAGAAAGGGGGAUUCCUGGAAAUACUGUUCUUGGGGGCGGGGCUUAUCCACUCA
ensembl:miRNA MIR145 microRNA 145